UGAGCAAUCUGCCCUUCUCAUCGGAAUAACCAUUGGAAACGAUGGCUAAUGCCGAAUAUGACCUCGGAUCACAUGUUCUGAGGUGGAAAGCUCCGGCGGAGAAGGAUGAGCUCGCGGCCUAUCAGCUUGUUGGUGAGGUAAUGGCUCACCAAGGCAUUGACGGGUAGCCGGCCUGAGAGGGUGACCGGCCACACUGGCACUGAAACACGGGCA
rnacentral:rRNA from 1 species